rnacentral:rRNA from 1 species
UACGGGAAGGGCAAGCGUUAUCCGGCGUGACUGGGCGUAAAGAGUCCGUAGACGGUAAAGUAAGUUUAUUGUUAAAUGUUAAAACUUAAUUUUAAUAGAGCAAUAAAUACUGCUUUACUUUGAGUUUAAAUAUAGAAAAGUAGAAUUUUAUAUGGUAGGGGUGAAAUCCGUAGAUAAUAUAAAGGAAAUGUCAACAGCGAAGGCAACUUUUUGGUAUAA